UUAAGCGACUAAGCGUACACGGUGGAUGCCCUGGCAGUCAGAGGCGAUGAAGGACGUGCUAAUCUGCGAAAAGCGCCGGCGAGGUGAUAUGAACCUUUGACCCGGCGAUGUCCGAAUGGGGAAACCCAGUGCAAUUCGUUGCACUAUCGUUAACUGAAUACAUAGGUUAACGAGGCGAACCGGGGGAACUGAAACAUCUAAGUACCCCGAGGAAAAGAAAUCAACCGAGAUUCCCCCAGUAGCGGCGAGCGAACGGGGAGCAGCCCGGAGUCUGAAUCAGCUUGUGUGUUAGUGGAACGGUCUGGAAAGUCCGACGGUACAGGGUGAUAGUCCCGUACACGAAAGCACACAUGCUGUGAACUCGAAGAGUAGGGCGGGACACGUGGUAUCCUGUCUGAAUAUGGGGGGACCAUCCUCCAAGGCUAAAUACUCCUGACUGACCGAUAGUGAACCAGUACCGUGAGGGAAAGGCGAAAAGAACCCCGGCGAGGGGAGUGAAAAAGAACCUGAAACCGUGUACGUACAAGCAGUGGGAGCCUCUUUAUGGGGUGACUGCGUACCUUUUGUAUAAUGGGUCAGCGACUUAUAUUCUGUAGCAAGGUUAACCGUAUAGGGGAGCCGAAGGGAAACCGAGUCUUAACUGGGCGUUAAGUUGCAGGGUAUAGACCCGAAACCCGGUGAUCUAGCCAUGGGCAGGUUGAAGGUUGGGUAACACUAACUGGAGGACCGAACCGACUAAUGUUGAAAAAUUAGCGGAUGACCUGUGGCUGGGGGUGAAAGGCCAAUCAAACCGGGAGAUAGCUGGUUCUCCCCGAAAGCUAUUUAGGUAGCGCCUCGUGAAUUCAUCUUCGGGGGUAGAGCACUGUUUCGGCUAGGGGGCCAUCCCGGCUUACCAACCCGAUGCAAACUACGAAUACCGAAGAAUGUUAUCACGGGAGACACACGGCGGGUGCUAACGUCCGUCGUGAAGAGGGAAACAACCCAGACCGCCAGCUAAGGUCCCAAAGUCAUGGUUAAGUGGGAAACGAUGUGGGAAGGCACAGACAGCCAGGAUGUUGGCUUAGAAGCAGCCAUCAUUUAAAGAAAGCGUAAUAGCUCACUGGUCGAGUCGGCCUGCGCGGAAGAUGUAACGGGGCUAAACCAUGCACCGAAGCUGCGGCAGCGACGCUUAGGCGUUGUUGGGUAGGGGAGCGUUCUGUAAGCCGUUGAAGGUGUCCUGUGAGGGGUGCUGGAGGUAUCAGAAGUGCGAAUGCUGACAUAAGUAACGAUAAAGCGGGUGAAAAGCCCGCUCGCCGGAAGACCAAGGGUUCCUGUCCAACGUUAAUCGGGGCAGGGUGAGUCGACCCCUAAGGCGAGGCCGAAAGGCGUAGUCGAUGGGAAACAGGUUAAUAUUCCUGUACUUGGUGUUACUGCGAAGGGGGGACGGAGAAGGCUAUGUCAGCCGGGCGACGGUUGUCCCGGUUUAAGCAUGUAGGCGGAGGUUCCAGGUAAAUCCGGUACCUUGUUAACGCUGAGGUGUGAUGACGAGGCACUACGGUGCUGAAGUGAUAAAUGCCCUGCUUCCAGGAAAAGCCUCUAAGCAUCAGGUAACACGAAAUCGUACCCCAAACCGACACAGGUGGUCAGGUAGAGAAUACCAAGGCGCUUGAGAGAACUCGGGUGAAGGAACUAGGCAAAAUGGUGCCGUAACUUCGGGAGAAGGCACGCUGAUAUGUAGGUGAAGUCCCUGCGGACGGAGCUGAAAUCAGUCGAAGAUACCAGCUGGCUGCAACUGUUUAUUAAAAACACAGCACUGUGCAAACACGAAAGUGGACGUAUACGGUGUGACGCCUGCCCGGUGCCGGAAGGUUAAUUGAUGGGGUUAGCGGCAACGCGAAGCUCUUGAUCGAAGCCCCGGUAAACGGCGGCCGUAACUAUAACGGUCCUAAGGUAGCGAAAUUCCUUGUCGGGUAAGUUCCGACCUGCACGAAUGGCGUAAUGAUGGCCAGGCUGUCUCCACCCGAGACUCAGUGAAAUUGAACUCGCUGUGAAGAUGCAGUGUACCCGCGGCAAGACGGAAAGACCCCGUGAACCUUUACUAUAGCUUGACACUGAACACUGGUCCUUGAUGUGUAGGAUAGGUGGGAGGCUUUGAAGCGUGGACGCCAGUCUGCGUGGAGCCAACCUUGAAAUACCACCCUUUAAUGGCUGGUGUUCUAACGUAGACCCGUAAUCCGGGUUGCGGACAGUGUCUGGUGGGUAGUUUGACUGGGGCGGUCUCCUCCCAAAGAGUAACGGAGGAGCACGAAGGUUGGCUAAUCCUGGUCGGACAUCAGGAGGUUAGUGCAAUGGCAUAAGCCAGCUUGACUGCGAGCGUGACGGCGCGAGCAGGUGCGAAAGCAGGUCAUAGUGAUCCGGUGGUUCUGAAUGGAAGGGCCAUCGCUCAACGGAUAAAAGGUACUCCGGGGAUAACAGGCUGAUACCGCCCAAGAGUUCAUAUCGACGGCGGUGUUUGGCACCUCGAUGUCGGCUCAUCACAUCCUGGGGCUGAAGUAGGUCCCAAGGGUAUGGCUGUUCGCCAUUUAAAGUGGUACGCGAGCUGGGUUUAGAACGUCGUGAGACAGUUCGGUCCCUAUCUGCCGUGGGCGCUGGAGAAUUGAGGGGGGCUGCUCCUAGUACGAGAGGACCGGAGUGGACGCAUCACUGGUGUUCGGGUUGUCAUGCCAAUGGCACUGCCCGGUAGCUAAAUGCGGAAGAGAUAAGUGCUGAAAGCAUCUAAGCACGAAACUUGCCCCGAGAUGAGUUCUCCCUGAGAC
rnacentral:rRNA from 1 species